rnacentral:rRNA from 1 species
GACGAACGCUGGCGGCGUGCUUAACACAUGCAAGUCGAACGCUGAAGCUCAGCUUUUGUUGGGUGGAUGAGUGGCGAACGGGUGAGUAACACGUGAGUAACCUGCCCCCUUCUUUGGGAUAACGCCCGGAAACGGGUGCUAAUACUGGAUAUUCACUGGUCUUCGCAUGGGGGUUGGUGGAAAGGGUUUUUCUGGUGGGGGAUGGGCUCGCGGCCUAUCAGCUUGUUGGUGGGGUGAUGGCCUACCAAGGCUUUGACGGGUAGCCGGCCUGAGAGGGUGACCGGUCACAUUGGGACUGAGGUACGGCCCAGACUCCUACGGGAGGCAGCAGUGGGGAAUAAUGCACAAUGGGCGCAAGCCUGAUGCAGCGACGCCGCGUGAGGGAUGGAGGCCUUCGGGUUGUGAACCUCUUUCGCUCAUGGUCAAGCCGCAACAAUGGUUGUGGUGAGGGUAGUGGGUAAAGAAGCGCCGGCUAACUACGUG